rnacentral:lncRNA from 10 species
CACCCCAACUGUGCUACUUUUUUAUAAAAAAUUUUUAAUACAAACUGUUUUCCUCACUCCCUCCUUUUUGAAACACCAGCUUCACUUGGCAUCGGUGGAGAGGGACGCGUGUUUUGAUGGGGAUGUUGUGCAGCCUCUCAGGGAGAAUUAGGUGCCAGGCCCCUUCCCUUCAUAGCCCUCUGUGUCUGCUGACCGUCACCCCAUGGCAUCCCAGAGACCGACGGGGACGAGCACAGUGUCCACUCCAGGGGUUGGGACCCUCCUGGGGGCAGCUCUUUGCUUCUCUGCAGCCUGGGCCUCUGCCGGGCGUGGCACAAAAAUCCGUUUCCUUCUUCUCCGGUUCCACUGGAGCUGCCUCCCUCACAGCAGACAUCCUCGCGCUUGGGACUGUUUGUGCUGAGUCAGGCUCUGGUCAGAGACAGAAGGAACCUGGUGAGCUCCCUAGAUAAUGACGUUUAUUUUUAAUAGUGAUGUUAUUAUUUGUGGUUGAAAUUUUACAGCAUGGCAAUUUCUGAUCUCCGCUCUAAAGAGAAUAUCUACCUCUGUGGGUUAUUUUCCACUGGGAUAUUUGGAAUUUGCUUGUGCUGUAAUUUAUCAACUCCUGAAACUUUAGCCUAAAACAUUUUGUAUGAGGUUUCGAAAGGAUGCUUAGAAACCUGAGAAAAAUAUAAAACACUCUCAGACAGAUCCACACGUCAAGCAUGAGGCCUUUUUCUAAAAUACUCAGUGUUUGUUGAGGGAGUGAAUGGAGGUCCCCAAGGCUUCAUUAAUUCUGAUGUGGACCCCUGAGCUCUCCUUGUCCUCUGGGCUCACGACUCCCUCCUUCUUCUGAGGCAAAUGGGGAGGUUUGAGAACAAACAAACACUGGAAUUAAGCCUGGUUUAUAGGACUCGUGGGGAGGGAGGGGAGUGCCAGCUACAGAGUCAGGGACCCCGUCUGGGGUUCCCAAGACUCAGGGCAGGUGUCUGGCAGCAGGUAGCCGCUCACACCUGCCUCCGGCCGGGGGCAUGUUUAACUCCUCACGUGCUCGUCUUCUCCUCUGAUCAGAAAGAUCCCUCAUCCCUGGCCCCCACAACCCCCCACAACUCCCUCCGUUUUGCAUGUGAGAUCCCUCAUAGGUGGGAGCAGGUCGUAGGAAGAGUGGAGGAGGUACAGGACAGCAGACGCGGUGAGGACUCUUGGACCUGGGGGUCCUGCUACCUGGCCUGUCACCGUCUGUGGCCCACCAGUCCCUUUAGGGCAGCAGCAACGCCCAGAGGAGCCUCUGGCUUAACCAGGUUCAUGAAGCAGCUGAACCGCAGCCCACAUCUCCAGGAAUCAGCAGUGAGUCCAGAUCUCACCACACCUUCCCGGAAGUCACUCGGUCCCUGGAGAUUCAAAACCGUGUGAGGCGCAAACAGCAGCGAUGGUCUGGGGUCUCCACCGACUUGGCCGGGAAGUGGCUGUGGGACCUGGCAGGUCCAGGGGUCUGCACGGCACAGUGAGGAUGAGCUGGCCUGGACCUUGAGCGGGCAUCGGGUGUUGGCACAGUGCAGGGGAGCUGCCAGCCCCAGGGGAUGCCAUUCUCGAUCGUUUAGAAAGCACAGAGUCUGCCUGGUCCUAAGAGAGUGGCGUUUCCACAUAGCCUGAGGGUGGGUGGUGCAGAGGAACUGCGGCUCUUACAUGCUGAGCUGCUGAAAUGAAAUGAAGCGGCUGGACCAGCAGGGAUGCAGCCUCCCACUGUCCUGGAACCGGGAUGCCUGAGAGCCAAGGUCUGGCAGGCCAGACACACUCUCUCCAAAGAAUCCGGGGAGACUCUGCCCUGCAGCGGUCCUGGAGACUCCUUCCUCGGCUUGCAGACGCCGCCCCCCAGCCCCGGCCUCCAUCUUCACAGGGCGUUUACCCUCAUCUGUGUUCAAAUUCCCCUCUUCCUCUAAGGACACCAGCCAUUGGACCAGGCCCUCAUCUUAACUUGGCCAUAUCUGCCAAGACCCUCUCUCCAACUACAGUGACACCCUGAGAUUCCAGGGAAAUGAAUUCGGGAUUCCAGGGAAAUGAACCCAGCCCAGUGCCACGGCCCAUCGGGCUCUGCGUCGGCCGUGAUCCUGCCCCACGUCUCUGCAGGGUCUCACUCCUUUUCUGGGUUAGGAAACUGAGGUCAGUGCAGCUCAGUGAGCGCCCGCACGGCGGGAGGCUGCCUUUGAACUAUAUUGUCUGACCACAAAGUUCUCAUAGCGAAUGGUGGUGCUGGACUCUGAGCUGACCUUCCAGAUACUGUGGGGGCCAGGGAAAGAGAAGCCCGUGUGCCCUGUGUUCAAACGUGUAAAGUUACAAAUCAGACUAAAAGUGUGCCGGGGUCCUCACCUAGACAACGUGCCUGGCAGACCACGCUGGAAUCCUCGGACCCUGCCGAGCCCUGUGCAGAAGCGCGAGGUGUGGACAGCAUAGGAUGGAGACCGGGGCUCCAGACCUGCCUCCGGUCCCGCCUGCUCACUUCUGAAGGUGAUUUGCUUCUAGGGUGUGUUCCCACAUAUUCAUCAGGUACAAAUCCUACCUCAGCAAGCGUCAGACCCUACCUGAGCCCCACACAGGGCCGGGCCGCAGGGUGAAGGGUGCUCACUUCAAGGGGGCGGCUGAGGCAGGCCCUGGAGCAGCAGGGCCUCUGGGGACUACAGAGCCCAGACCACCGUGCCAGGUUGGUUCUGUGUGGACGUGGUCUGGUCUCCGCAUGCUCCAUCCGCAAGGGUGCCCGUGUGGCCUGGGCUGGGCUUGCUGCCUGAAGCCUCCUGCCUGCCCUUCCUGUGCCCCACGCCCUCCCUAUUCGCCAGCUCUGCGUUCCUUCCCUAGGAAGUUCUCAUCUUCCCGGCUCCCUCGGGAGCAAGGCACGGCCUCAAGGAAGGCAGAAAGUGGAAGCUCCUGAGCCUGGGACGCGGCCUCCUCCCUCACCUGCCCCUGCCAGAUGACAGGCCUGGCUUCUGCCGCCCGGGCCCGUUUUCCUGUUGUUCUGCAGAAGCACGCGGCCUGCCACCUCCUCCAUUGACAGGCACAGCCUUCCUCUUUCCACUCUUUUGCUGGGAUCUCCAGAACCAAGUGCUUUUUCAAGGAAGCCCCUUUCCCUGCUCCCACCUCCACCGUCCAGCCCUGAGUCUUUAGGAGUCACAAGGUGACCUGAGUUAGGCAGCAGAGCAGAGACUGGCACCUGCAGCCCCUGCCCCAGCCUUGUCAGUAGCCCCACCUGGCAGUCCCUCUGUCCAGGGCCAGCCCUGCCUUUAUCACCCAGUGAAGGUGUUGAGUCUUCAUUGUGGAGCUCUCAUCUGCUCUCUCCGCAAACACUCACCCAGCAUCUCCUUUCCCAAAGCCCUGUGCUGGGGCCUGGGGAGAGAGAGCCUGGGGAGGGGUGAAGCUGGCUCUGCAGACACAGCAGGCCGGUCUGAGAGACCACCCGGCUCCGGACAGGGAGGGCGAUACCUGGGAUUCCACACAUACCUUCCUUUCUCAGAAGCACUGCAGGGGCUCAGGUAGGUUUUGAUGCUUGCUGAGGUAGG